CCUACGGGGGGCAGCAGUGGGGAAUAUUGGACAAUGGGAGGAACCCUGAUCCAGCCAUGCCGCGUGUGUGAAGAAGGCCCUCGGGUUGUAAAGCACUUUCAGUGAGGAAGAACGCCUGGUGGUUAAUACCCAUCAGGAAAGACAUCACUCACAGAAGAAGCACCGGCUAACUCCGUGCCAGCAGCCGCGGUAAUACGGAGGGUGCGAGCGUUAAUCGGAAUUACUGGGCGUAAAGCGCGCGUAGGUGGCUUGAUAAGCCGGUUGUGAAAGCCCCGGGCUCAACCUGGGAACGGCAUCCGGAACUGUCAAGCUAGAGUGCAGGAGAGGAAGGUAGAAUUCCCGGUGUAGCGGUGAAAUGCGUAGAGAUCGGGAGGAAUACCAGUGGCGAAGGCGGCCUUCUGGACUGACACUGACACUGAGGUGCGAAAGCGUGGGUAGCAAACAGGAUUAGAUACCCGGGUAGUC
rnacentral:rRNA from 1 species